rnacentral:rRNA from 1 species
ACGUAGGAGGCGAGCGUUAUCCGGAUUCACUGGGCGUAAAGCGCGUGCAGGCGGUUUGGUAAGUUGGGCGUGAAAGCUCCCGGCUCAACUGGGAGAGGUCGUUCAAUACUACCAGACUUGAGAGCAGAAGAGGAAGAUGGAAUUCCCGGUGUAGUGGUGAAAUGCGUAGAUAUCGGGAGGAACACCAGUGGCGAAGGCGAUCUUCUGGUCUGUUUCUGACGCUCAGACGCGACAGCUAGGGUAGUAAACGGGAUUAGAGACCCCGGUAAUCCUAGCCGUAAACGAUGUGAACUUGGCGUUGGUGGCUUAAACACCAUCAGUGCCGAAGCAAACGCGAUAAGUUCACCGCCUGGGGACUACGGCCGCAAGGUUA